AGAGUUUGAUCAUGGCUCAGGACGAACGCUGGCGGCGUGCCUAAUGCAUGCAAGUCGAGCGGGCUACGAUCUUCGGAUUGUAGCUUAGCGGCGAACGGGUGAGUAACACGUAGGUAAUCUACCCUUCAGAGGAGGACAACCUCAGGAAACUGAGGCUAAACCUUCAUACGUUCACUGGUAGGGAUACUGGUGAAGAAAGAGUUACCUUAGUGGUAGCUGCUGAAGGAUGAGCCUGCGGCCCAUCAGGUAGUUGGUGAGGUAACGGCUCACCAAGCCGAAGACGGGUAACCGGUCUGAGAGGAUGUCCGGUCACACUGGGACUGAGACACGGCCCAGACUCCUACGGGAGGCAGCAGCAGGGAAUCUUGGGCAAUGGGCGAAAGCCUGACCCAGCGACGCCGCGUGGAGGAAGAAGUCCUUCGGGGCGUAAACUCCUGGACUGGGGGACGAGGAAGGACGGUACCCCAGUAGAAAGGGACGGCUAACUACGUGCCAGCAGCCGCGGUAAAACGUAGGUCCCGAGCGUUGUUCGGAUUCACUGGGUGUAAAGGGCGCGUAGGUGGUUGUCUGUGUCUCAUGUGAAAACUCAGGGCUCAACUCUGAGAUUGCGUGGGAAACUAGGCAGCUAGAGGACGGUAGAGGGGAGUGGAAUUCCCGGUGUAGCGGUAAAAUGCGUAGAUAUCGGGAGGAACACCGGUGGCGAAGGCGGCUCUCUGGGCCGAUCCUGACGCUGAGGCGCGAAAGCUAGGGGAGCGAACCGGGUUAGAUACCCGGGUAGUCCUAGCCGUAAACGAUGGGUGCUAGGUGUUGGGGGGUAAAGACCCUUCAGUGCCGAAGCCAACGCGAUAAGCAUCCCACCUGGGGAGUACGGCCGCAAGGUUGAAACUUAAAGGAAUUGACGG
rnacentral:rRNA from 1 species